rfam:Aedes aegypti strain Liverpool supercont1.346 genomic scaffold, whole genome shotgun sequence.
UGCCCAGCAACUCCUAUCCCUACCUCCUCGUGGUACUGGCCGGGGUACGAGUAACCUUGGGGAAGAUCGGGUAACCAACCCCCGGUGGGUACUUUGGUCGUAUGCUGACAGGGAAGG